AUGUUCAGAUUUAAGGCAAAUAAAAAAGGAGUGGAGGGGAGCAGAUUUGUCCAGAAAUACGACUGGCUAGAACAGAAUAAUCUCUCCCUCUCUCUUAGAAUACACACACACAUGCACAAGCAAGUAAAUCAAACUUCAAAACUGAAUGGACCACACCUGCAGUCAUACUUUUGUUGCGACCAGGCCAGGCGGAGGCGGGACACGGUGGCACUGGCGGCUGACACCGCCGAGGUGGACAAGCUCGCAUACAUUCUCUUCUCUGGGUUCACGAAUCUCGUGUCCGCCUUUCCCUGUUCCCCCUUGGCUCCUACCGCACGUGUCCGCCUUUCUCGACGCGGCGUAGGAGGCGAAGGAGGUGGCACGUGGAAGCCUUCAACUGGAAAUUAA
rnacentral:rRNA from 1 species